AAUACAACUCUCAGCAACGGAUAUCUUGGCUCUUGCAACGAUGAAGAACGCAGCG
rnacentral:rRNA from 1 species